CACUAUCAGAGUGUGUGUUUCCGUGAGUUUGUGUUGUUUGCCUCAGUGUCAGCUGGCACUCACUCGCUCAAAUACACACACACACACACACACCUGCAGCUUUGCGAUGGUGGAAGGGAAACCGUAUCGAUACGGACUGAUCUCUGCUGGCGUGUGUGCGAUUGCUCUCGGCCUCUUCAUCAUGGUGAGGGAGCGACCACACAUCUUCAUCACUGUUUGUGUCCUCGGAGUCUUCAUGGUGUGUGUGGGGAGUGUGUGGAGCAUCUGCCAGUGUUACCCAAAGGUAAAGUGUGUAUGUGUGUGUGAGAAAGUGUGUUGGUGAUAGAGACAGAAAGGUAUCAGAGGUGUAAUGGAGUCAGUUUAUUUGUAGGUCGUUUUGGCUCCUGAGACUGAGGAGGACAGUCUGAAGGACGGGUUGUGUACAGCUGGAGACGACAGGUACCACACAUACACACACACACACACACAGUCUUCAUAUCGGUCUGUGUUAGUGCCCGUUCCAAAGGUGGAGACAGCAGUCCCCUGUGGUGUUUGUGAAAGGAGGACAGAGCUGCUUUAAUAUGAUGAGAAACUACAACUAACUUUGAGAACCGACUGAAGUUAUUACUGAAGAAGAGGAGAAAGGAAGGAUGGAGCCGGAGAGACUGAUUAAGGUUCUGUUUACAAGAGGAGGAACAGUAACUGACACCCUACUGACUGAAGAUAUCGCUGUAACUCACAGGACAGACUCAGAGGACAGAGACAGACUUAGAGGACGGUCUGUAGUCUUCAGUUUGUCAAAUAGAAACGGCAAAAUAGUUGGAAACUUGAAGGUGAGGCAGAGGUCCAUCUUCCUCCUCUAAUAGGCAUCGCUGAUUUCUCCUGAUUAAAGCCCUGUAGUUGGUCAGAGGAGGGUGUCUCAGAGGUCAAACUCUCAGAGUGAUCUGAGGACACUAUAGUCUACAGCCAGACAAAAAGUCAGAACAUAAGGACAUAACACAAACUUGAAGCCAGACUUUCACACCUGUCUCCUUCCUCCUCCUCUCAUCUUCUUCUCCUUUUCCUUACACACUUUGUCUGUGUCCAGGUGUCCUGAGGUCCCACCCCCUCUCUCUGGGAAGAUGCUGAGCGCCAUACCGCAACUUUCUAGAUCUCCAAAGAGUCACAGCUGUCCCACACUACAGCUGGUCUGACCCUCACCAAAUCAGGACCCUCUUCGACUCCCUUUCCUGUCACUUUCCCCUCUAUUCUUUCCAUCCUCUGCCCUCUCUCUUAUAUCAUUUGUCCUCUCUCUGCCCUCUUUCUCCUCUCUCAGCCCUUUCUGUCCUCUUUUUGUCCUGUCCCACAGGAUGAUGUUUGAAGUAUCUGGUAAAAUUAAACAUUGUUCUCAGAUCUCA